CCUACGGGUGGCAGCAGUGAGGAAUAUUGGUCAAUGGUCGGAAGACUGAACCAGCCAAGUAGCGUGCAGGAUGACGGCCCUAUGGGUUGUAAACUGCUUUUAUACGGGGAUAAAGUGCGUUACGUGUAGUGCUUUGUAUGUACCGCAUGAAUAAGGACCGGCUAAUUCCGUGCCAGCAGCCGCGGUAAUACGGAAGGUCCGGGCGUUAUCCGGAUUUAUUGGGUUUAAAGGGAGCGUAGGCCGCAUGUUAAGCGUGCUGUGAAAUGCCUGGGCUCAACCAGGGCCUUGCGGCGCGAACUGGCUUGCUUGAGUGCGCGGAAAGCAGGCGGAAUUCGUGGUGUAGCGGUGAAAUGCUUAGAUAUGACGAAGAACCCCGAUUGCGAAGGCAGCUUGCGGCAGCGGUACUGACGCUGAUGCUCGAAGGCGCGGGUAUCGAACAGGAUUAGAUACCCGGGUAGUC
rnacentral:rRNA from 1 species